UACGUAGGGGGCUAGCGUUGUCCGGAUUUAUUGGGCGUAAAGAGCGUGUAGGCGGCCAGGUAGGUCUGCUGUGAAAACUCGAGGCUCAACCUCGAGACGUCGGCGGAAACCAUCUGGCUAGAGUCCGGAAGAGGAGAGUGGAAUUCCUGGUGUAGCGGUGAAUGCGCAGAUAUCAGGAAGAACACCCGUGGCGAAGGCGGCUCUCUGGGACGGUACUGACGCUGAGACGCGAAAGCGUGGGAGCGAACAGGAUAGAUACCCGGUA
rnacentral:rRNA from 1 species